rnacentral:rRNA from 1 species
CACGCAGUAAACGAUGAUUACUGGCUGUUUGCGAUACAAUGUAAGCGGCUGAGCGAAAGCGUUAAGUAAUCCACCUGGGGAGUACGUUCGCAAGAAUGAAACUCAAAGGAAUUGACGGGGGCCCGCACAAGCGGAGGAACAUGUGGUUUAAUUCGAUGAUACGCGAGGAACCUUACCCGGGCUUGAAAUGCGGUGGACCGGCGGAGAGAUCCGCCCUCCCUUCGGGGCCACCGUGUAGGUGC